rnacentral:rRNA from 1 species
UACAGAGGUCUCAAGCGUUGUUCGGAUUUAUUGGGCGUAAAGAGCUCGUAGGCGGCUUGUCGCGUCGACUGUGAAAACCCGCGGCUCAACCGCGGGCCUGCAGCCGAUACGGGCAGGCUAGAGUUCGGUAGGGGAGACUGGAAUUCCUGGUGUAGCGGUGAAAUGCGCAGAUAUCGGGAGGAACACCGAUGGCGAAGGCAGGUCUCUGGGCCGAUACUGACGCUGAGGAGCGAAAGCGUGGGGAGCGAACAGG